GUNUAGCGCGGUGGUCCCACCUGACCCCAUGCCGAACUCAGAAGUGAAACGCCGUAGCGCCGAUGGUAGUGUGGGGUCUCCCCAUGCGAGAGUAGGGAACU
rnacentral:rRNA from 1 species